rnacentral:lncRNA from 1 species
GGCCAAAUAUCAAUACUUGCUUAGGGUUCACAAAAAUAAAAAUAAACCCUAAAUUACGUCCAAGACAACAAUGACACAAUGCGAGGCGAAAUGAUACAGAAAUAGAAAACACAAAAUGCGAGAACGGCUCCAAAUGACGAAACACACACGAAGCCAAAGCCACCCGAAAGGGGGAUACCAUAACUACAGCUUACCUUGCCAAAGAUCGCCUUUUUUCGGUUCGGAUAACACGAACGCAGCAAUGGAGAUAGCAAAGGACAAUGAAGGUGCGGGAAUGGAAAGAAAACGAAAGUGAAAGAGAACGUUCAAAAGCAAAGUGAAAGACACCAAAAUGAAACCGCCAAAUGAAAACUCAUAUUCGAUAUCUCAUAAUUCCUAUUCUACCCUCCUCAGUACAUUAAAAAACCAUUUUCCAUUUAAAACAUAAAACCCAAUAAGAAUUUGACACUUGGACGGUGUCAAAUUUGUG